rnacentral:rRNA from 1 species
UACGUAGGGUCCGAGCGUUGUCCGGAAUUAUUGGGCGUAAAGGGCUCGUAGGCGGUUUGUCACGUCGGGAGUGAAAACUCAGGGCUCAACCCUGAGCGUGCUUCCGAUACGGGCAGACUAGAGGUAUGCAGGGGAGAACGGAAUUCCUGGUGUAGCGGUGGAAUGCGCAGAUAUCAGGAGGAACACCGGUGGCGAAGGCGGUUCUCUGGGCCUUACCUGACGCUGAGGAGCGAAAGCGUGGGGAGCGAACAGG